rnacentral:rRNA from 1 species
CUAGAGUUGCGGGCUUUGCCUCCCCAUCUCUNAGNAUGUCUUUUGAGUACCUCCGUUUCCUCGGCGGGUUCGCCCGCCGAUUGGACAAAACUUAAACCCUUUGUAAUUGAAAUCAGCGUCUGAAAAAAACAUAAUAGUUACAACUUUCAACAACGGAUCUCUUGGUUCUGGCAUCGAUGAAGAACGCAGCGAAAUGCGAUAAGUAGUGUGAAUUGCAGAAUUCAGUGAAUCAUCGAAUCUUUGAACGCACAUUGCGCCCCUUGGUAUUCCAUGGGGCAUGCCUGUUCGAGCGUCAUUUGUACCUUCAAGCUUUGCUUGGUGUUGGGUGUUUGUCUCGCCUCUGCGCGCAGACUCGCCUCAAAACGAUUGGCAGCCGGCGUAUUGAUUUCGGAGCGCAGUACAUCUCGCGCUUUGCACUCACAACGACGACGUCCAAAAAGUACAUUUUUUACACUCUUGACCUCGGAUCAGGUAGGGAUACCCGCUGAACUUAAGCAUAUCAAUAAGCGGAGGAA